rnacentral:rRNA from 1 species
GACGGGGGGGGCAAGUGUUGUUCGGAAUCACUGGGCGUAAAGGGAGCGUAGGCGGGUUUUUAAGUUAGGUGUUUAAUCCCGGGGCCCAACCCCGGACAGGCACCUAAAACUGGAAAUCUUGAAUAGUGGAGAGGUCGGUGGAAUUGGGGGUGUAGCGGUGGAAUGCGUAGAGAUCCCCAAGAACACCAGUUGCGAAGGCGGCCGACUGGACACAUAUUGACGCUGAGGCUCGAAAGCGUGGGGAGCAAACAGG